AUUUUAAAUAAUAAUUAUUUAUGUUCGAGAGUGUACUUUUCAUCAUAUAAAAGAUAAAAGGAUAAAGAGAUGUUGAAAUGCAAAAUCCCUUAGUAAAUGAAGAGAUAAAAGGCUGUGGGAGAUGUUCUUACUCGUGUCCUCUGUGUUUUAUUUUUUUGUUAACUAAGUCUCUAUGAUUUUUAAAGGCAUACUAUAACAUUUAACUCUGCUUAGCGGUAAAAACGUUGCGGAUAUUUAUAUUAAUAUGUGUAUAUAUACUCUUAUAAGGUACUAUUAUAUUUCGUGAAAAUGCAUUCUGGGGAGAUUCCAGAUAAAUAUUCAAAAUCUGAUUUUGUUAAUAGGUUGUGAAUACAUGAACAUUUAUUGGAGGAUUGUUUCCACUAAUACGACUAAUGUUCGUCAUAUGGCUCCAAAUAUCAACUACAAAAUGUAUGCAUAUGCACGCCAGUAAACCCAAUGCAUGCUAAUAUGAACGGAAGAAAGUAAAAAUAUGCCUCCGCCUCCACGCAAUAAUGAACCACUACAAACUAGACCAGACCAAAAAAUUAGGCAUUAAUCAUGUCUUGGUUAAACGAGUGGAAGGGAAUGUUUUUGGACCGAAGAUCCUCUCUUAUCAUCUUCUUGGUUCUUAGUUCCCUGUAUUAAUUUAGGAGUUUGUAGCUUUGAGUUCAAUGCCUAGGUUGAAACAGAGAAUCUGAACUGCAUUGUCUCUUAACAAAAGUGAUAUGAGCUACAAACACAAUGAUAACGAUUCACAUAUCACAACGAUAUCCCAAUUACCCGAAUUAAAAACUAUAUAGAUUUGGUUUAGACACUUAGAUUUCAGAUUAGAACAGUUAUGUAAACUGAUAAACUGAGUUGACACAAAGGAAGCAAAAGCCUAGGAAGGAAAGAAUGCAAGAACCAAACUGAAAAGCCCAAUAAAAGCCCAUAAAAGGCCCAUGAUUAAAAAUACUUCAAACUCCUCUCAUCCGACCGUUUAAUCAGUUACUACAGUAGUAGUAUAGAUAAAGAACAUGCGGUUCUCUUUUCUUCCCCUCCGCCGAGACUUUCUGUCUUCUCUCUCUCCGUAAUGGCGGCGGUCGCGACGUUCCUCUCUCUCUCCCCCUUUCGACGAUCCUCAACUUUACAACUUCGCGAUCUUCCUCGUAAUCACAAUCAAUCGAUUCGAAGAAGAGUCCACCUCAAAUCUCCCGCCAUCCAAGCUUCUUCUAAAAACUCCUCUCCUCAAAAUGUACAGAACAUAGUGGAAUCUCCCGAACCGGAUCCUGAUCCUAAACCUCAAAAUGGGAUUGGUAAUAUCGGAAUGGAGAUCAUGUCGAUUGCGUUACCAGCGGCGCUAGCUUUGGCCGCUGAUCCUAUAACAUCUCUUGUCGACACAGCAUUUGUUGGCCACAUUGGCUCUGCGGAGUUAGCUGCAGUAGGAGUCUCGGUUUCUGUGUUCAACUUGGUGUCUAAGCUCUUCAAUGUUCCUUUGCUGAAUGUGACUACAUCGUUCGUUGCGGAAGAGCAGGCCGUUGCAGCUAAGAAUGAUAACGAUUCUACGGAAACAAGAAAGAGAGUGCUCCCUUCUGUUUCAACGUCACUGGUUCUUGCAGCUGGUGUUGGUAUCGCAGAGGCGAUAGCUCUCUCUCUUGGAUCUGAUUACUUGAUGGACAUCAUGGCUAUACCUUUUGACUCACCGAUGAGAAUACCAGCAGAGCAGUUUCUUAGACUUAGAGCGUAUGGUGCACCACCAAUUGUAGUGGCAUUGGCUGCUCAAGGAGCUUUUCGAGGUUUCAAGGACACAACAACACCUCUAUAUGCCGUUGUUGCGGGGAACGUGCUAAACGCGAUACUGGAUCCUAUUCUGAUAUUUGUUCUUGGUUUUGGUAUCUCUGGUGCUGCGGCUGCUACUGUGAUUUCUGAAUACUUGAUUGCGUUUAUUCUUCUGUGGAAGUUGAAUGAGAAUGUGGUUUUGCUUUCUCCUCAAAUCCAAGUGGGAAGAGCCAACCAGUACCUCAAAUCAGGUGGGCUUCUGAUUGGUAGAACGGUGGCACUGCUUGUGCCAUUCACGUUGGCAACUUCGUUAGUGGCUCAGAAGGGACCUACUCAAAUGGCUGGCCAUCAAAUCUGCUUGGAGAUCUGGUUGGCUGUCUCUUUGCUCACCGAUGCUUUAGCCAUUGCUGCACAGAGUCUUCUUGCAACAAGUUUUUCUCAGGGAGAGUAUAAACAAGCUCGGGAAAUUCUCUUUGGUGUCCUUCAGGUAGGUUUAGCAACUGGAACUGGUUUGGCUGCUGUUUUGUUCAUCGGAUUUGAACCAUUUUCGAGCUUGUUUACAACGGAUUCAGAAGUUUUGAAGAUUGCUUUGUCAGGGACCUUAGAUCUCAACCGGUGAAUGCUAUAGCGUUUGUUCUUGAUGGGCUCUAUUAUGGAGUCUCUGACUUUGGAUUUGCCGCUUACGCUAUGGUGAUUGCUGGAUUCAUAUCUUCCUUGGUCAUGCUUGUGGCUGCACCAACCUAUGGACUCGCCGGGAUUUGGACGGGUUUGUUCCUCUUCAUGGCGUUGCGGUUAGUUGCCGGAGCCUGGAG